AAUCAACGUUGGCGGCGCGCCUAACACAUGCAAGUCGAACGAGAAAGUGGAGCAAUCCAUGAGUAAAGUGGCGUACGGGUGAGUAACACGUGGGUAAUCUGCCUGUUAGUGGGGAAUAACCCUGGGAAACCGGGGCUAAUACCGCAUAAGUUCGUAAGAAGAAAGUCGCAAGACGCUGACAGAGGAGCCCGCGGCCGAUUAGCUAGUUGGCAGGGUAAAAGCCUACCAAGGCGACGAUCGGUAGCCGGCCUGAGAGGGCACACGGCCACACUGGCACUGAAACACGGGCCAGACUCCUACGGGAGGCAGCAGUGGGGAAUCUUGCACAAUGGGGGAAACCCUGAUGCAGCGACGCCGCGUGAGUGAUGAAGCCC
rnacentral:rRNA from 1 species